UCUGAUUGGUUCAUGGAUUUUGAAUUGUGAAAAAUGAAAACGCAAAGAAAAAGGAAAUCAAGUAAUUUUAAAAUCUCAUUUAUGUUUGGUUACAAGGAAAAAAGAUGAAAAUCAUUUUGUUGAAAAUAACUUUCUUUAGUUUUGUUUGGCAAUUUCAAGAAAACUAUGAAAAAUAUAAUGUAUUCUUAAAUUUUUUUUAUGAAAUAGUAAAAAUUAAAAUUAAACCAAUACAAAUAUCUGUUAAUAUCACGAAAAAGUACAAAACAAUUUCUCCAAAAAAAGAAAGAAAUAAAAAUUAAAUAAAUAAAAAUUAAAUAAAUCCACUUAAAAGGAAUAAUAAAAUAUUAAAAAAAAAAGAAUAAUAAAAUAAAUCUACCACCAAGGCACCCCGCAAACCAACCCCCACCACCACCACUCACGGCCCCAACUCUCACCACCACCAGCACCACUCACGCCCCCACCUCCACCACCCUAGCCUAGUAAUCCAAAUAAAGAAAAAAAAUUAGGUAUACGGCGUUAUCAUCCAAUAAUCGACCGGCGGUUCCCAUCAACGCCGGAAAAUUCCUGGAUCAGAUGGAAGAUUGAGAGGUACAGUGGCGGAGCGAAGGUUUCCGGCGGCGGCGAAGAGGUUGCUGGUGGCCGUGGUCCAUUUGAGAGUGAAUACAGAGAGAGGAUGUUGGUUGUGGCGGUUGACGGCGUUGAGGGUCCGGUGGUGGUGGUGGUGGAGGUGGAGCCGACGGUGGAGGCAGGUGAGGUCGACGACGGUCGGCGGUCGGUGGGAAUGACAGUGACGAAUUGAAGAAAUUGUGUGGAUGUGGAGAACACCCAAUCUCUUUUCCUAGUUUUCCUCAUUAUUUUGGGGGAAAAUGCAUUUUCCCUAUUUUGGGUUAAAAAAGUUUUCCCCUUUUUCUACAAAUUACUUUACCCAGUAUUUUACAUUUUAACCAAACAAGAAAAGUAGAUUACUUUGACUUUUCACAAUUUUACCUACCAUUUUCUACAAACCAAUCAUAGCCUUAAGG
rnacentral:lncRNA from 1 species